GUAUAUUUAGGAACAGGGGAGUACAGUAGAGAUGCACAAUACACUUGCUCACCCCGACCAACAGACUCGCGUACGCAUAUCUUAUCACUAUGAGCGUCUUCGAAAGGCUAAGUCGACGCGUCUUGAGAAUGACAAAGUCAUUAUAAAUAUCUCGCUAUAAAAGGAACAUCGCCUCACACCGAAAAAUCACUUCAUCUUUAUGAAACACUACUUGUUUUGGUUAGAAGGGAAACUUGAAGGGCC
rnacentral:lncRNA from 1 species